GUAGGAAUCGAACCUACACCUAAGAGAUCAAAACUUCUCCGUAAUUCC
rnacentral:tRNA from 1 species